rnacentral:rRNA from 1 species
GUUAAACCAGUAAACUAAAUUAUACAAAUUUGGUAAAAUACAGUUAGGUAAGUUAAUAAGUUUAUGAUUCCCUAUAUAGAAGUAAAAUUCAUAUGGGUGUAAUAUACCAAAAAAACUAUAUUACUGAUUCUGUGAUAUCUUUAAGGGAAACUGGGAUUGGAUACCCCAUUAUUUUUAGAUGUAAAUAGAUAUUUUACCCGAGUACUACGAAUUUAGAUCAUUUAAAACUCAAAGGGCUUGGCGGUAUCUUAGACCUUUUAGGGGAACCUGUCUCGUAAUCGACAAUCCACGUUAAACCUUACCUUUUUUAGUAUUCAGCUUGUAUACCGUUGUCGUCAGGUAACUUUUAAAAAUAAAACAGUUAGCUAUAAAAUUAUAUUAAUUUAGAUGUCAAAUCAAGGUGCAGCCAAUAAAAAGGAGCAGAUGGGUUACAAUUCUAAAAUCAUAAUACGGAUGUUAAGUGAAAAUAACCUGAAGGAGGACUUAAAAGUAAAAAUAUUUAUAAAAAUAUUUUGAACAGGGCUCUAAGAUGUGCACACAU